CGUUAAUGUCAGAAAAUCUAGAAAACAUCAAGACUUCAGACGUCUCUUCAUCUUCAAAGUGCCUGUUUAGUUUAACCGAGAAACAAGCUAAAGACUUUAGCUUCAUAAGUUGAUUUAUUUUUGUGUGGAGCUGUUUUUCGUUUAUCUGGACGAGUUUUCAUGUAAAAAAAUCGACGCUGAGUUUCAUUAACAGCAACUGAAAGCUGCAGUUUUUCUUCCUUUAGUCAACACAUCUCAAAAACCUACAGGUUCAGGCGCUAAAUGUCUAAAUAUUCUCCUCAGUCUGACGUUUGUUUUUAAGGAGGGUUCCGUAGUUUUUAUCAGCUUUUAUGUUCUACUCUAAGGCACAUUUUGAAGUGUUGAGUCAGUAAAAGUUAGUGGAGGAAGUUUUUACGCUGACUUGAGUUGAUUCUUAACUGAGGAAGUAAAACUUGAAGACCUCUUUCGGUUUUUCUGUCGUAGACGGACAAAGUUUGGUUUUAUCUUUGAGAUUUGUUCUGUUAGCAAACUGUCUGAGAGUUCAGGAAACACCCGGAUGCUUGUUUCACACUAAAGAGGGUCAAAGUUUACGGCGCUUCAUUUUGAGAAAAUCUGUCUCAGUUGGGCUUCGACUUUUCAGCUGUUUUCCAAGUUCUAAAGUCUCCAGAUGUCCUCUACGUAUCAGACAGGAUCGAACCCUGUGCUGCCGUCGGACUUCCUGCCUUUAAAGGAAGCAGCAGCUGGAUGCGGAUCGGACUGUAGAACCAUGUUAAUGUGAACGGUCCUGAGGGAUCAGGAUAUCUGGAGAUCUUAGAACCUCUGGCUGAGUUUGGUCUAAAACAUGAAAUCAGGUUCCAGCUGUUUAUGAUGGAUGAAAGGUUUGGAUGACAGAGAAUCUCCUGUUUGGGGAAUCGUUCUGUCCUCAUGGAUCAACACUCAGACUGAAAGGUUUUUUUUGUCUUUAUUUACAUUUUCUGUGACAAUUCAACGGCAGCAACGAACCCACACCGACAUUUCUUUGAGGCCUCGACUUCCUGUUUUUAACCCUUUGAUGCGCUGUGUGGGUCAGGAGAUAACCAUUUUCUAUUGGAUUUGGGUCACUUUUGACCCAUUUUAUGCAUCAAAGUGUUAAAGGAAGCAGCAGCUGGUUGAAGGAUAUCUGGAGAUUUUAGAACGUCCGGCUGAGUUUGGGCUCCUGCGGUGUAAAACAUGAAAUCAGACUCGGUUCCAGCUCUGUUUAUGAUGGAUAAAAGGCUUGGAGGAUGGAAAAUCUGGUAUUUUAAGAAGCGUUCUGUCCUCGUGGGAUUCAUGACCUUGGUUUUAUUCAGGCUUCUUCUGACGCCGACAGUUUUUUUCUUUUUUGGUCUUUAUUUGCGUUUUCUGCGACAUUUCAGUUUGCUGAACAUUCGUAUGGAAACACGGGGAGUGUAGCGUACGGCAGCAGCGAACCCAAACCGAUGUUUCUUCCUGUUUUUAAAGGAAGCAGCAGCUGGUUGAAGGACAUCUGGAGAUUUUAGAAUUUCCGGCUGAAAUCAAAGCUCCUCCUGCUCUUUUAAUGAUGAAUUGAAGGUUUGGAAUCUCGUUUUUUGAGCGUUUGCUGGACCUCGUGGUGAAAUGACUAAAAAUGUGUCGUAGCUCCGAUUAAAGCGGUGGAUGUUCCUGGAGUUGGUUGAUAAUCAGAAGAACCCAGAGAUGUUUUCUAUAUAUAUAUGUAGUCUUUGUAGGAGAGCUGCCCACUAUCAAAGAAUUUGCUUUAUUUCCAGACUUUAAAAGUUCUCAGUGUUCCUUUGUGAGCUCCCGGAAGACGCUGACGUUCCUCCUGUUCUUCCUGGUUCCAUGUUCUCGUCGUGUCUGAGUUCUCCUCUGAAGGUCAAACUUCUUCUCUUCUUCGUUGCACUACAUGGUUUUUUUAGCUUCUGGUUUUAUCUUCGUCCAUCGGGCCGCUGAGCUUUUCUUUGGCUUUUUCUCGCCGCUGUGUGUUUUUACCUGCAUGAGUAAAGCUGUUUGUGUCUCCGGCUGCUUUUCUUUCUGCUUUCUUCUAAUCAUAUAAAGGAGGAAAUGCAUAGCUGCACUUCCUCAGCAAUACGACAGUGACGCUUCUCUGGUCUUCUGGAGCUUCUGUCGAGCUCGUUUCACGUCAUGGAGGAAACGUGAGGAAGUGGACGGACGGCGAGUGACUUUCACGGCUCUUAUUUCAGUACGUGAUACUGCGAGUACUACAUGAAUCCUUAGAGUACUCGUACCAGGAAUAAAGUCGCUGUGAAGCUUCAUCAUGUUCUUCUGUUCUGUCCAUAUGUAAACUAUUAAUCGUGGCUUAACAUUUUCUAUGCUCCGACCUUUUUGUUUUGGUUUUUUUUGACACUUUAGCUAGCAAUAUGUAUAUAAAUAUAUUCUAUGUGCUAACAUGGAGGAAAUAAAUGUAUCAACAAGACGCUGCAA
ensembl:lncRNA